UUAGAUCAAACAUUCCAAGUCUUCUUUCCCAAAUCCUAGCCCAAGUCCCAAGCCUAUGGGGAAGAACAAGUCUCCUUACGUUUGAAAUGGUUCAGUUUUUCACUUUCUCUACAGUUCGAAAUGAGUUUCUCCACUUCCUUAUCGUGAACCUAAAACAAAUGAAAUCGUGCUUGCGAAAUGACAUUGGACAUGCAUUUUCGUGAACGAAGGAAGGACCACC
rnacentral:lncRNA from 1 species